rnacentral:rRNA from 1 species
AGUGAACGCUGGCGGUAGGCCUAACACAUGCAAGUCGAACGGCAGCACAGUAAGAGCUUGCUCUUACGGGUGGCGAGUGGCGGACGGGUGAGGAAUACAUCGGAAUCUACUUUUUCGUGGGGGAUAACGUAGGGAAACUUACGCUAAUACAGCAUACGACCUACGGGUGGAAGCAGUGGAGCUUCGGACCUUGCGCGAUUGUAUUAGCCGAUGUCGGAUUAGCUAGUUGGCGGGGUAAAGGCCCACCAAGGCGACGAUGCGUAGCUGGUCUGAGAGGAUGAUCAGCCACACUGGAACUGAGACACGGUCCAGACUCCUACGGGAGGCAGCAGUGGGGAAUAUUGGACAAUGGGCGAAAGCCUGAUCCAGCAAUGCCGCGUGAGUGAAGAAGGCCUUCGGAUUGUAAAGCCCUUUUAUUAGGGAAGAAAAGCUGUAGGUGAAUACCCGGCUGUUCUGACGGUACCCAAAGAAAAAGCACCGGCUAACUUCGUG